rnacentral:rRNA from 1 species
GAUGAACGCUAGCUAUAGGCUUAACACAUGCAAGUCGAGGGGAAACGGCAUUAUGUGCUUGCACAUUUUGGACGUCGACCGGCGCACGGGUGAGUAUCGCGUAUCCAACCUGCCCUUUACUUGGGGAUACCCCGUUGAAAGACGGCCUAAUACCCGAUGUAAUUCAUUGAUGGCAUCAGAUAUGAAUAAAAGAUUUAUCGGUAAAGGAUGGGGAUGCGUCUGAUUAGCUUGUUGGUGAGGUAAAGGCUCACCAAGGCGACGAUCAGUAGGGGUUCUGAGAGGAAGGUCCCCCACAUUGGAACUGAGACACGGUCCAAACUCCUACGGGAGGCAGCAGUGAGGAAUAUUGGUCAAUGGGCGCAAGCCUGAACCAGCCAAGUAGCGUGCAGGAAGACGGCCCUAUGGGUUGUAAACUGCUUUUAUACGAGAAUAAUUUGAUGCACGUGUGCGUUAUUGCAUGUAUCGUAUGAAUAAGGACCGGCUAAUUCCGUGCCAGCAGCCGCGGUAAUACGGAAGGUCCAGGCGUUAUCCGGAUUUAUUGGGUUUAAAGGGAGUGUAGGCGGUUUAUUAAGCGUGUUGUGAAAUUUAGGUGCUCAACAUUUAACUUGCAGCGCGAACUGUCAGACUUGAGUACACGCAACGUAUGCGGAAUUCAUGGUGUAGCGGUGAAAUGCUUAGAUAUCAUGAAGAACUCCGAUUGCGAAGGCAGCAUACGGGAGUGUAACUGACGCUUAAGCUCGAAAGGUGCGGGUAUCGAACAGG